AACGAACGCUGGCGGCAGGCCUAACACAUGCAAGUCGAACGGCUCCUUCGGGAUUAGUGGCGGACGGGUGAGUAACACGGGGGAACGUGCCCUUGGGUUCGGAACCACUCAGGGAAACUUGAGCUAAUACCGGAUGUGCCCUUCGGGGGAAAGAUUUAUCGCCAUUGGAGCGGCCCGCGUCUGAUUAGCUAGUUGGUGAGGUAACGGCCCACCAAGGCGACGAUCAGUAGCUGGUCUGAGAGGAUGAUCCGCCACACUGGGACUGAGACACGGCCCAGACUCCUACGGGAAGCAGCAGUGGGGAAUCUUGCGCAAUGGGCGAAAGCCUGACGCAGCCAUGCCGCGUGAAUGAUGAAGGUCUUAGGAUUGUAAAAUUCUUUCAGCGGGGACGAUAAUGACGGUACCCGCAGAAGAAGCUCCGGCUAACUUCGUG
rnacentral:rRNA from 1 species